rnacentral:rRNA from 1 species
AAAUUCCGGGAUUGCCUAAAACUGCAAGUCGAACGCACAGCGAAAGGUGCUUGCACCUUUCAAGUGAGUGGCGAACGGGUGAGUAACACGUGGACAACCUGCCUCAAGGCUGGGGAUAACAUUUGGAAACAGAUGCUAAUACCGAAUAAAACUUAGUGUCGCAUGACACAAAGUUAAAAGGCGCUUCGGCGUCACCUAGAGAUGGAUCCGCGGUGCAUUAGUUAGUUGGUGGGGUAAAGGCCUACCAAGACAAUGAUGCAUAGCCGAGUUGAGAGACUGAUCGGCCACAUUGGGACUGAGACACGGCCCAAACUCCUACGGGAGGCUGCAGUAGGGAAUCUUCCACAAUGGGCGAAAGCCUGAUGGAGCAACGCCGCGUGUGUGAUGAAGGCUUUCGGGUCGUAAAGCACUGUUGUAUGGGAAGAACAGCUAGAAUAGGAAAUGAUUUUAGUUUGACGGUACCAUACCAGAAAGGGACGGCUAAAUACGUGCCAGCAGCCGCGGUAAUACGUAUGUCCCGAGCGUUAUCCGGAUUUAUUGGGCGUAAAGCGAGCGCAGACGGUUUAUUAAGUCUGAUGUGAAAGCCCGGAGCUCAACUCCGGAAUGGCAUUGGAAACUGGUUAACUUGAGUGCAGUAGAGGUAAGUGGAACUCCAUGUGUAGCGGUGGAAUGCGUAGAUAUAUGGAAGAACACCAGUGGCGAAGGCGGCUUACUGGACUGCAACUGACGUUGAGGCUCGAAAGUGUGGGUAGCAAACAGGAUUAGAUACCCUGGUAGUCCACACCGUAAACGAUGAACACUAGGUGUUAGGAGGUUUCCGCCUCUUAGUGCCGAAGCUAACGCAUUAAGUGUUCCGCCUGGGGAGUACGACCGCAAGGUUGAAACUCAAAGGAAUUGACGGGGACCCGCACAAGCGGUGGAGCAUGUGGUUUAAUUCGAAGCAACGCGAAGAACCUUACCAGGUCUUGACAUCCUUUGAAGCUUUUAGAGAUAGAAGUGUUCUCUUCGGAGACAAAGUGACAGGUGGUGCAUGGUCGUCGUCAGCUCGUGUCGUGAGAUGUUGGGUUAAGUCCCGCAACGAGCGCAACCCUUAUUGUUAGUUGCCAGCAUUCAGAUGGGCACUCUAGCGAGACUGCCGGUGACAAACCGGAGGAAGGCGGGGACGACGUCAGAUCAUCAUGCCCCUUAUGACCUGGGCUACCACGUGCUACAAUGGCGUAUACAACGAGUUGCCAACCCG